rnacentral:snRNA from 13 species
AUUAUUUUUUGUAAAAAAAAUAAAAUAAAAAAAAAAAAAAUCUGUUCUUAUCAGUUUAAUAUCUGAUACGUCCCCCAUCGGGGGACUACAUAUUAAAUGGAUUUUUCGAACAGGGAGUCGGAAAUGGGGCUUGCUCCGUCCGCUCCACGCAUCGACCCGGUAUUGCAGUACCUCCGGGAACGGUGCAACACUU